UAAGCAUAUCAAUAAGCGGAGGAAAAGAAACCAACCCGGGAUUGCCCCAGUAACGGCGAGUGAAGCGGCAAAAGCUCAAAUUUGAAAUCUGGAGCCGUGCGGCUUCCGAGUUGUAAUUUGCAGAGGGAGUCUCGGAGGGCGUGUCGGCCCAAGUGCCUUGGAACAGGAUACCGCAGAGGGUGAGAGUCCCGUAUCCGGCCGACAUCGCGCUCCGUGUGAGGCCCCUUCGACGAGUCGAGUUGUUUGGGAAUGCAGCUCUAAGCGGGUGGUAAAUUCCAUCUAAAGCUAAAUACGGGCCAGAGACCGAUAGCGCACAAGUAGAGUGAUCGAAAGAUGAAAAGCACUUUGAAAAGAGAGUUAAACAGUACGUGAAAUUGUUGAAGGGGAAGCGCAUGGGGGCAGACGUGGGCGCGGGGUUCAGGGCUUCGAGAUCGGAGCGUGUACUUCCCCGCGCGCAGGCCAGCAUCGGUUCUGGGGGCCGGACAAAGGCGACGGGAACGUGGCUCUCUUCGGGGAGUGUUAUAGCCCGGCGCGCAAUGCGGCCACCUGGGACCGAGGACCGCGCUUCGGCAAGGAUGCUGGCGUAAUGGCCUCAUGCGGCCCGUCUUGAAACACGGACCAAGGAGUCUAACAUCUAUGCGAGUGUUUGGGUGGCAAGCCCGGGCGCGCAAUGAAAGUGAACGGAGGUGGGAGCCCCUUUUGGGGGGUGCAGCAUCGACCGGUCCGGACGUCUUCCGAAGGAUCUGAGUAAGAGCAUAGCUGUUGGGACCCGAAAGAUGGUGAACUAUGCGUGAAUAGGGUGAAGCCAGAGGAAACUCUGGUGGAGGCUCGCAGCGGUUCUGACGUGCAAAUCGAUCGUCAAAUUUGCGUAUAGGGGCGAAAGACUAAUCGAACCAUCUAGUAGCUGGUUCCUGCCGAAG
rnacentral:rRNA from 1 species